rnacentral:rRNA from 1 species
GACAGAGGGUGCAACCGUUGUUCGGAAUUACUGGGCGUAAAGCGUGUGUAGGCGGUCUUCUAAGUCGGGUGUGAAAUCCCUGGGCUCAACCCAGGAAGUGCACUCGAAACUGGAGGGCUAGAGUAUCGGAGAGGUUGGUGGAAUUCUCGGUGUAGAGGUGAAAUUCGUAGAUAUCGAGAGGAACACCGGUGGCGAAGGCGGCCAACUGGACGAAUACUGACGCUGAGACACGAAAGCGUGGGGGGCAAACAGG